UAGGGAAUCUUCGGCAAUGGGGGGAACCCUGACCGAGCAACGCCGCGUGAGUGAAGAAGGUUUUCGGAUCGUAAAGCUCUGUUGUUAAGGAAGAACGAGUGUGAGAAUGGAAAGUUCAUGCUGUGACGGUACUUAACCAGAAAGGGACGGCUAACUACGUGCCAGCAGCCGCGGUAAUACGUAGGUCCCGAGCGUUGUCCGGAUUUAUUGGGCGUAAAGCGAGCGCAGGCGGUUAGAUAAGUCUGAAGUUAAAGGCAGUGGCUCAACCAUUGUAGGCUUUGGAAACUGUUUAACUUGAGUGCAGAAGGGGAGAGUGGAAUUCCAUGUGUAGCGGUGAAAUGCGUAGAUAUAUGGAGGAACACCAGUGGCGAAGGCGACUCUCUGGUCUGUAACUGACGCUGAGGCUCGAAAGCGUGGGGAGCGAACAGG
rnacentral:rRNA from 1 species